UGGCCUUAAACUAAUGAGUAAGGAAAAUAACGAGUCAGGGAAAUGCCUGACUCCACAGUCUUAUCUGCGAUGUUCUUUUGCAAAGGCUGGCCUU